UAAAGUGCAAGCCUCCCCCCCUCUCUCUCUCUCCAUGUAUAAAGAGAUCGAGCUAUUGUAUGUAGGCUGGUGCUUCCAAGAAGUAGAAGGCCGGGAAGUUGGUUCAUGAUGCAUGUUUAGGAUCUUCUAAUCUAAAGGGUUACGUUACUCGGUUAUCAAAAAAGCUUCAAUCUUAUCAGGAUUUGGUAGGGCUUUUGAAUAAAAUUUAUCUUCUAGUGGUAGCAGUUGUUCUCACUCACGUAGCUAAUUUUUGGAUUUACAUGAUAUUUGGCAGAAACUUCUGAUAUUCAAAUAGUCAAAAUGGGUGCAUGUUUUAGAAGAUUUUUGCCAGCUUUGAAGUGUUAAUUAGUGACUUGUUGGUGUCUAUGCUUACACUAGCUGAGUUUUAGUAGAAGCCAAAAAGGGGUCAUUUUCUAUAUCAACUUUACAAUAGCAGGUACAACUUUUUCAGCUCUCUUUUCUCUCUCGAUAAAUCUGAAGCCCGAGAGCUGUUUCAUCAAGCACUUCAAAUGGCUCCAUCUAGUACUUCAAGUACUGCUUCAAGCUUCAAAGAAUCAUGGGACAUCAUCAAUGGCCAUGAGGAUCAUAACAACAAUGGUACUGAAGACAUUUUAGUCACUACUGGGUGUUCCACUCCAAAGGCUCAGAGAUUCAGAAUACCGGAGAUGUCAUCUUGUCCGCCGCCUCCAAAGAAGAGAAGAGUAAGUAGUAGUUCAAGCUGCGUGUCAAAUUUGUCUCCUAUGAACUUCUUUGCUCCUCCGGAUAUAGAGCUUUUCUUCUUCUUGGCAUUUCAGAAUAUCCCCGCCUGAGGAAGCGGCAUCUCUGUCCGUGUCAUUGGCGAAAGUUUGGCUGAACUUUCUUCUUCUACAUCUACUUUUGAGGUCAAAUCUAUGUUUUUCCGCCGAUUCAUGCAAGACAUGCGCAAUUUUUCAACGUCGGCUUGUGUUUGGUGUUUUCUGUAGUUUUUUUUUUUCUUCUCUUUUUUUAUAGUAGUUUUUGAAAGUCUGUCUGUUAAAUUUGCAUAUUUUACUAUACUUUUUAUGGCUUUUUAGCUAAAUCAGCCAUCUUUUCUUUGUUAGGAGUGCUUUAUUAUUAAAGAGUGGCUCAAACAUCUGUCAUUAUAAUAUU